GGGCGUCGAGCGGCGGACGGGUGAGUAAUGCCUAGGAAAUUGCCUUGAUGUGGGGGAUAACCAUUGGAAACGAUGGCUAAUACCGCAUAAUGCCUACGGGCCAAAGAGGGGGACCUUCGGGCCUCUCGCGUCAAGAUAUGCCUAGGUGGGAUUAGCUAGUUGGUGAGGUAAUGGCUCACCAAGGCGACGAUCCCUAGCUGGUCUGAGAGGAUGAUCAGCCACACUGGAACUGAGACACGGUCCAGACUCCUACGGGAGGCAGCAGUGGGGAAUAUUGCACAAUGGGCGAAAGCCUGAUGCAGCCAUGCCGCGUGUAUGAAGAAGGCCUUCGGGUUGUAAAGUACUUUCAGUUGUGAGGAAGGGGGUNNNNUUAAUANCNNNNNNUCUUGACGUUAGCAACAGAAGAAGCACCGGCUAACUCCGUGCCAGCAGCCGCGGUAAUACGGAGGGUGCGAGCGUUAAUCGGAAUUACUGGGCGUAAAGCGCAUGCAGGUGGUUCAUUAAGUCAGAUGUGAAAGCCCGGGGCUCAACCUCGGAACUGCAUUUGAAACUGGUGAACUAGAGUGCUGUAGAGGGGGGUAGAAUUUCNNGUGUAGCGGUGAAAUGCGUANAGAUCUGAANGGAAUACCAGUGGCGANNNCGGCCCCCNGNNNAGACACUGACACUCAGAUGCGAAAGCGUGGGNNGC
rnacentral:rRNA from 1 species